rnacentral:rRNA from 1 species
GGAUGCAAACCUGGUGAACUGAAACAUCUAAGUAGCCAGAGGAAGAGAAAACAAAAGUGAUUCCGCUAGUAGUGGCGAGCGAAAGCGGAAUAGCCCAAACCAAAUAUGUUACGGCAUAUUUGGGGUUGUAGGACCGUGACAUUUGAUGUGUAAUGAAUAGGAAUCUUUUGGAAAAAAGAACCAAAGAGGGUGAUAGUCCUGUACUGGUAAAUUACAUUAUUGAUAACGGUAUCCUGAGUAGUGCGGGGCACGUGAAACCCU